GCGUGGCCACGAGGGGCCGCAGGCGUCGCGGGGAGGCGGCGGCGGGCGCCCCGUGCGACCGGCCGCGUGACCUCGGGCCCACGGAUGGCGCCACCACCACCACCACCACCACCACCGGCACCACCGCCACCACCACUGCAACCGCUACCAGCGCCGAUUUUACUGUUAUCCAGGCGAUGUCCGGCUAAGAGAUACUGAUCAGAAUCAUGGACAUUUACAAAGACAAUGGAACAAAGACUGAAAAAAGCAGACUGUUCAGCGAUCAUCUUGACGCUGGGGACUGGCAAGAGGCCCUCUGAGACCACAGCAACUGACCGGAAGAGAAUGGAUACACAUGGGAAAGCUGGGAAUAUUGAUGACAACAAGUUGAGGAAAACCAGAUUUCUGCUUCACAACUGAAACAGCGUCAUCCCCCCACCCCACUUCCCAGCCCCUCUUCCCCUUCCUCCCUGUUAUGGGCUCUGUUCAUACUUCGGCU